rnacentral:ncRNA from 2 species
AGUACGGUCGCGCCCGACGGUUCCCGCAAGGGAUCAAUAGGGAAUGCGGUGAGGGUCGCGCGCGAUCCGAUUCCGCGGCUGCCCCCGCAACUGUGAGCGGCGAGCCUUUCGCCACACGCCACUGGGCCUCGUGCCUGGGAAGGCGGCGAAAGGCACGGACCCGCGAGCCAGGAGACCUGCCGUCGUUCGUGGUCACAC